rnacentral:tRNA from 1 species
CAAAGAAUAGUUUAAUUCAGAAUCUUA